UGCCACGAGACCGAUAGCAAACAAGUACCGUGAGGGAAAGUUGCAAAGCACUUUGAAGAGAGAGUUAAAGAGGACGUGAAACCGGUAAGGUGGAAACGGAUAGAGUCGGCGUAUCAUUCAAUUAUUCAGUUACAUUAUUUUUAUGUUGUGACCUCUGAGCUCCAGAUUGGGACAGAGGGAAUCAGCAUAAUUUUUUGUGGUGCAUUUACUUGAUUGGUGCUUGGGGAUGUUUGAGGCAGAUUUGUUUCCGUCGUUUUGAGGCCAGCUUGCUGGUACCCAAACGGUGUUAGCAUUUUUUGUCUUGGGCAUUUGAGUAUGGCUCACGUGUAUUUAUUGGACAGAUCUGAGUGUAAGUUACGGUCGCAUGCGACACGUGCUUUUCAAUUAGUUCGGUCCAGUUAAUGCUCUCGUACUCGUUCCCCAUGUAAAAGCCGGUCAUCUAUCCGACCCGUCUUGAAACACGGACCAAGGAGUUUAUCGUGUGCGCAAGUUUUUGGGUGUUAAAAACUUAAAAGCGAAAUGAAAGUAAAUGACUCUUUAGAGUCUGAUGUGCGAUCUUGUAAAAAAGUGUAGCAUGGCCCCAUUCUAACUGUUUACAGUAGGGUGGCGGAAGAGCGUACGCGGUGAGACCCGAAAGAUGGUGAACUAUUCCUGAGCAGGACGAAGCCAGAGGAAACUCUGGUGGAAGUCCGAAGCGGUUCUGACGUGCAAAUCGAUCGUCUGACUUGGGUAUAGGGGCGAAAGACUAAUCGAACCAUCUAGUAGCUGGUUCCUUCCGAGGAA
rnacentral:rRNA from 1 species